rnacentral:lncRNA from 1 species
ACUCGCCACAAGCUACAUCAGAGGCACAUCAGUACAUUACAUAAUCAUCAAGAGUAAGAGCAGGGUCCGACUACGGACGAAAACAAACGACAAAAGAAGAACGACGUCCAUCCUUGCUAUCCCAGGCUGCCGGCCUGGAACCCAUCCUAGAUCGAAGAAGAAGAAGAAGAAGAAGAAGAAGAAGCAACUCCAAAUGAAGAAUCAACGCGCUCGCGUCAAGUAACCUUUACCUGUACCUGCAACUGGUGUUGUAGUAAUCUGUGAGCCACAGGGGACUCAGCAAUCUCAUUUCCAAAGGUAUCAAGACUAGCAAAGCUUAAUGGGUGAGGUAUGGUUAAGUGGUGAGGUUGCAGUAGCGGCUAAGCAUAUAUUUGGCGGCUAACUUACGAGUACAAGAAAUAAGAGGGGGAAGAUCUACGCAUAACGGUCGUGAACUACAGAUGAUCAAAUGAAUGAUCCUGAACACCUACCUACGUCAGACAUAACCCCACCGUGUCCUCGAUCGGAGAAGGAACUUACGAAAGAGACAAUCACGGUUAUACACACAGUUGGCAUAUUUUAAUUAAGUUAACUUCAAGUUAUCUAGAACCAGUGUUAAACAAAGUUUCCACGUUGCCACAUAACCGCGGGCACGGCUUUCCAAAAGAUUUAACCCUGCAGGGGUGCUCCAACUAGUCCAUCACAAAUUACCACAAGCCGCAUAGAAAUCCUCAAUCACGAAGCUCGCGAUGUCGUCGGAUUCCCUAGUGGAAAACCUCAACUCUGAGAUUACCCAAAGCAUCACCGGAAUCCCGAUGCACAAGAUAUCUCGUCAAAGGUAAAACUAAUCCAGCAAGGCCGCCCGACGUGUCGAUGAUCCCGAUAGGAGUCGCGUACCUCGUUCCCAGGACACGACGGAUGAGCGAUGGUUACCACGCCAAACGCCGAGUUGCCCUGGGUAGCGUUAAUAAGCUGCUCUAUUUUGGACCAACACUCAUGAGGAGCACUGGCCCGGGGGUUGAUUAAAAUAGUCCGCGGGUGCCGGCGGGUCCCUAUGCAAUUUUAUUAGGUGAUUAGGCAAAUGUAGUACCAAUGUUGGGCCUUGCCAGACCAGCUUUAAUCUAAAACGAAUUAUCAAGGGGGUCCCCAUAACAAACCCGAUCGUGUUAGGAGCGCUCAAUUAUGGAACAUAACACCAGUAGCCGAAACUAAGGGGGCAAAGGUGGAACAAAACACCAGGCUAGGAAGGCCGAGCCUUCCACCUUUUACCAAGUAUAUAGGUCCAUUAAAUUAAAUAGCAUUAAUAUGGUGAUAUAACAAGGAACCCAUGUUUUCACAUGGAAGCAUCUGCACCUGCAACUAGCAACGCUAUCAACAGGGUUAAGCAAGCAGUAACAUAGCCAAUCAGUGGUUUGCUAGGUUGAACAGGUUGAAGGUUUCAUGGCAUUGUUGAGAGGCUGAAUUUAACAGGUGGUAGGCAACGAGACAUAACGGUAGAAACGGUAAAACUAGCAUGGCAAUGAUAGUAAUGGUAUCUGGGGAAAUGAUCAUCUUGCCUGAGAUCCUGCUUGGAAGAAGUAUGCCUCCGUGAAGCAGACGAACCGACGUAGUCGAACGGGUCCUCAC